rnacentral:lncRNA from 1 species
AUGACAGAGACUGAUGAAGCUCACCAUAUUACAGCUAAAAGAAUCAAGGAGGAAUAUCUGGAAGAUUUUUCAGAUGAUGAACCAUUGAGUAAAGUCUCAAAGAAACAUGAUCCAAAACCUCAGAGAUGGACCAAAACAGCAAACCUGCCAAUGAGACCCAGAAGAGAAAGGAGGGCAACAAUGAAAACGGUUAAUUAUAAAGAGGCUUCCAGUGACAGCUCUGACGAUACACUGACAGAGCAAAAGUCAACCAUGACAGAGACUGGUGAAGCUCACCAUAUUACAGCUAAAAGAAUCAAGGAGGAAUAUCUGGAAGAUACCACUGACGACUCAGAUGACGAAGCAGUGACAGAAAUGAAGACAACCAAGGCAGAGACUGGUGAAGCUCAUGAUUUCACUGCUAUAAUAAUCAAGGAGGAAUAUCUGGAAGACACCAUUGACAACUCAGAUGACGAAGCAGUGACAGGAAUGAAGACAACCAAGGCAGAGACUGGUGAAGCUCAUGAUAUCACUGCUAUAAGAAUCAAGGAGGAAUAUCUGGAAGAUACCACUGACAACUCAGAUGACGAAGCAGUGACAGGAAUGAAGACAACCAAGGCAGAGACUGGUGAAGCUCAUGAUUUCACUGCUAUAAUAAUCAAGGAGGAAUAUCUGGAAGACACCAUUGACAACUCAGAUGACGAAGCAGUGACAGGAAUGAAGUCAACCAAGGCAGAGACUGGUGAAGCUCAUGAUAUCACUGCUAUAAGAAUCAAGGAGGAAUAUCUGGAAGUUAUUACAAGUGAAACCUCUGAUGAAUCUGAUGUAGAGAUUGUCAACAUAAUUCCCAAAUUUACCCAGAAGCGCAAGUUUGUGCGUCAAAGAAAAUCUGUUAAAAGAAAGAUUGAAGGUGAUUUAUUGUCCACAUAUCUGAAGAUUUUUGUUGUAUUAAGGAGAUAUUAUUAAACUGUUCAUCUGUGCAGAUUUUUCAGAUGAUGAACCAUUGAGUAAAGUCUCAAAGAAACAUGAUCCAAAACCUCAGAGACGGACCAAAACAGCAAACCUGCCAAUGAGACCCAGAAGAGAAAGGAGGGCAACAAUGAAAACGGGUGAGCAUAAAAAUUGCCAAUUUUUGUCACAACACCCAGUCAUUGACAGCCGAGACAUUAACCAAAACAUGUGAAAGGCUGGCGUAGCUCAUGAUUGACAUCACCCACAGCCAAAGGAUUAUAUCUGCACACUUUGAGAUACUUUGGAGUGACGGUUAUCAUAGAUUAACCCCCCCAUCACCUCAACACACACUCACAUUGAAAUUAAAUAGAUCUAGAAAAGGAAUGCAAAA